AUGUUCUCAAUAGCUCUGCUGCUGCUGUUGGCAGCUGGAUGCUUUAAGUGUGAGCAGUUGAUGCAGCCGGCCUCUGUGACUGUGCAGCCCGGUCAACGUCUGACCAUCACCUGUCAGGUGUCUUAUGCUCUUAACAGCUACGCCACAGCAUGGAUCAGACAACCUGCAGGGAAAGGACUGGAAUGGAUUGGCAUUGGCCGUGUUGGAUACACCUCACGCUACAAAGAUUCACUGAAGAACAAGUUUAGUAUCGACUUAGAUGCUUCCAGUAAAACAGUGACUCUAAACGGACAGAAUGUGCAGCCUGAAGACACGGCUGUGUAUUACUGUGCAAGAGAACCACAGUAA